UACAGAGGGUGCAAGCGUUGUUCGGAACUAUUGGGCGUAAAGGGCGCGUAGGCGGUGCGGUAAGUCUGUAGUGAAAUCUCUGGGCUCAACUCAGAGUCUGCUGCAGAAACUGCCGUGCUUGAGUGUGGGAGAGGUGAGUGGAAUUCCCGGUGUAGCGGUGAAAUGCGUAGAUAUCAGGAGGAACACCUGUGGCGAAAGCGGCUCACUGGACCAUAACUGACGCUGAUGCACGAAAGCUAGGGGAGCAAACAGG
rnacentral:rRNA from 1 species